GUGGACUGCAUAGGAGAGAGAAUGCCGGCAUGAGUAGCGAGAGCAAAGUGAGAAUCUUUGCCGUCGAAAGCCUAAGGAUUCCUGAGGAAGGUUCGUCCCCUCAGGGUAAGUCGGGACCUAAGCCGAGGACAGAAGUCGUAGGCGAUGGACAACUGGUUGAGAUUCCAGUACCGCCGUAUCGUGCAUGACUGAAGCGGUGACACAGAAGGAUAGACAGAGCGGGUUGAUGGUAGAGCCCGUCCAAGCGAGGAGGCUGGAGCGUAGUGAAGUACGCGCUUCAAGGCUGGUGCGUGAUGGGGACCGAAAUACAAGUAGGGAAGCUGUUGAAUCCACGCUGGCGAGAAAAGCCGCUAGGGAGCGAUAAGGCGCCCGUACCGCAAACCGACACAGGUAGGCGAGGAGAGAAUCCUAAGACGAGCGGGAGAACCCUUGUUAAGGAACUCGGCAAAAUAGCCCCGUAACUUUGGGAGAAGGGGCGCCACAUUUUGUGGCCGCAGAGAAUAGGCCCAAGCGACUGUUUAGCAAAAACACAGGUCUGUGCGAAAUCGAGAGAUGACGUAUACGGGCUGACGCCUGCCCAGUGCUGGAAGGUCAAGGGGAAGUGUCAGGCGCAAGCCGAAGCACGGAACUUAAGUGAACGGCGGCCGUAACUAUAACGGUCCUAAGGUAGCGAAAUUCCUUGUCGGGUAAGUUCCGACCCGCACGAAUGGCGUAACGACUUGGGCACUGUCUCAACAAGGGACCCGGCGAAAUUGUAGUAUGUGUGAAGAUGCACAUUACCCGCGAUAGGACGGAAAGACCCCGUAGAGCUUUACUGUAGUUUGGCAUUGGACUUUGGCAGUGCAUGUACAGGAUAGGUGGGAGGCUAUGAAACCGGGACGCCAGUUUCGGCGGAGCCACCCUUGGGAUACCACUCUUGUACUGCUGGAGUUCUAACGCGGUGCGGUAACCCCGGCCGUGGACAGUGCCAGAUGGGCAGUUUGACUGGGGCGGUCGCCUCCCAAAGAGUAACGGAGGCGUCCAAAGGUUCCCUCAGAAUGGUUGGAAACCAUUCGCAGAGUGCAAAGGCAGAAGGGAGCCUGACUGCGAGACUGACAGGUCGAGCAGGGAGGAAACUCGGGCUUAGUGAUCCGGCGGUUUUUGAGUGGAAAAGCCGUCGCUCAACGGAUAAAAGCUACCUCGGGGAUAACAGGCUUAUCUCCCCCAAGAGUCCACAUCGACGGGGAGGUUUGGCACCUCGAUGUCGGCUC
rnacentral:rRNA from 1 species